AUAGUACUCCCUCCGUUCUGAAUUACUUGUCGCAGAAAUGGAUGUAUCUAGAAUUAAAAAAUGUCUAGAUACAUCCAUUUUUACGACAAGUGAUUCUGAACGGGAGUAGUACAUG
rfam:Triticum aestivum genome assembly, contig: Triticum_aestivum_CS42_TGACv1_scaffold_406685_5BL